UACGGGGGGAGCAAGCGUUGCUCGGAAUCACUGGGCGUAAAGGGCGCGUAGGCGGAUAGUUUAGUCAGAGGUGAAAGCCCAGGGCUCAACCUUGGAACUGCCUUUGAUACUGGCUAUCUUGAGUUCGGGAGAGGUGAGUGGAAUGCCGAGUGUAGAGGUGAAAUUCGUAGAUAUUCGGCGGAACACCAGUGGCGAAGGCGACUCACUGGCCCGAUACUGACGCUGAGGCGCGAAAGCGUGGGGAGCAAACAGG
rnacentral:rRNA from 1 species